AAAAACACAGCACUCUGCAAACUUGAAAAAGGAAGUAUAGGGUGUGACGCCUGCCCGGUGCCGGAAGGUUAAUUGAUGGGGUUAGCUUGCUUGCAAGCGAAGCUCUUGAUCGAAGCCCCGGUGAACGGCGGCCGUAACUAUAACGGUCCUAAGGUAGCGAAAUUCCUUGUCGGGUAAGUUCCGACCUGCACGAAUGGCGUAACGAUGGCCAUACUGUCUCCAACCGAGACUCAGUGAAAUUGAAAUUGCUGUGAAGAUGCAGUGUACGCGCGGCUAGACGGAAAGACCCCGUGCACCUUUACUACAGCUUUACACUGAACUUUGAAUCUAAUUGUGUAGGAUAGCUGGGAGCCUUUGAAGCUGAUGCGCUAGCAUCGGUGGAGGCAACCUUGAAAUACCAGCCUAUUAUCUUUGGAGUUCUAACCCAGGACCGUUAUCCGGUUCGGAGACAGUGUAUGGUGGGUAGUUUGACUGGGGCGGUCUCCUCCUAAAGAGUAACGGAGGAACGCGAUGGUACCCUCAAUACGGUUGGAAAUCGUACGAUGCGUGUAAAGGCAUAAGGGUGCUUGACUGCGAGACAGACAUGUCGAGCAGGUACGAAAGUAGGUCUUAGUGAUCCGGUGGUUCUGUAUGGAAGGGCCAUCGCUCAAUGGAUAAAAGGUACGCCGGGGAUAACAGGCUGAUACUGCCCAAGAGCUCAUAUCGACGGCAGUGUUUGGCACCUCGAUGUCGGCUCAUCACAUCCUGGGGGUGAAGCAGCUCCCAAGGGUAUGGCUGUUCGCCAUUUAAAGUGGUACGCGAGCUGGGUUUAGAACGUCGUGAGACAGUUCGGUCCCUAUCUACCGUGCGCGUUUGAUAUUUGAUGGAAGUUGCUCCUAGUACGAGAGGACCGGAGUGAACCUAUCCCUGGUGUUCCAGUUGUCUCACCAGAGGCAUUGCUGGGUAGCUAUAUAGGGUUGUGAUAACCGCUGAAAGCAUCUAAGCGGGAAGCCAUACCAAAGAUUAGAUAUCACUGGACCUAUAAGGUCCCUAAAGAUCCGUUCUAGACUAGGACGUUGAUAGGCUGGGUGUGGAAGCUUGGUAACAAGUGAAGCUAACUAGUACUAAUUGAUCGUGAGGCUUGCUCUU
rnacentral:rRNA from 1 species